rnacentral:rRNA from 1 species
UACGUAGGGUGCGAGCGUUGUCCGGAAUUAUUGGGCGUAAAGGGCUCGUAGGCGGUCUGUUGCGUCGGGAGUGAAAACUCAGGGCUUAACCCUGAGCCUGCUUCCGAUACGGGCAGACUAGAGGUAUGCAGGGGAGAACGGAAUUCCUGGUGUAGCGGUGAAAUGCGCAGAUAUCAGGAGGAACACCGGUGGCGAAGGCGGAUCUCUGGGCCUUACCUGACGCUCAGGUGCGAAAGCUAGGGGAGCGAACAGG